rnacentral:rRNA from 1 species
GACGAACGCGGCGGCGUGCCUAAUACAUGCAAGUAGAACGCUGAAGAGAGGAGCUUGCUCUUCUUGGAUGAGUUGCGAACGGGUGAGUAACGCGUAGGUAACCUGCCUGGUAGCGGGGGAUAACUAUUGGAAACGAUAGCUAAUACCGCAUAAUAGUAGAUGUUGCAUGACAUUUGCUUAAAAGGUGCAAUUGCAUCACUACCAGAUGGACCUGCGUUGUAUUAGCUAGUUGGUGAGGUAACGGCUCACCAAGGCGACGAUACAUAGCCGACCUGAGAGGGUGAUCGGCCACACUGGGACUGAGACACGGCCCAGACUCCUACGGGAGGCAGCAGUAGGGAAUCUUCGGCAAUGGACGGAAGUCUGACCGAGCAACGCCGCGUGAGUGAAGAAGGUUUUCGGAUCGUAAAGCUCUGUUGUAAGAGAAGAACGAGUGUGAGAGUGGAAAGUUCACACUGUGACG